rnacentral:lncRNA from 1 species
AAAGAGUGCUUUGUAAAGGCUUUAAAGUCCAAAAAUGCAGCCUUUGGAUUAGAAGCAAAACACGUUAGGCAGAAACAUUUUCCUUCAUUAAACAAUCAAACAACACUUGCAUUCUUUGGUUUUAAAGAACCAAAAACGUGAAAGUUUAUUUUGGUUUAUCAAAUUCAAUUUUUAGCCAAUGUUGCAAUUUCAAAGAACUAUCAAUUUCGUUUCUGUAUCUCGAGAAUUUCGUCCAUAUUUUGUAAAAGCAGAUUCGUUCAAAUAAUUCCGGGAACAGGUAUGUUAAGGCUAUCCCUUCUUUCUUUUGGCAUGAUCCAUACGAUAUGAACGAAACGUGCAAAUACACAAAUUCCAAAAGUAACUCUACUCAUAGGAGUAAUAGAAAUAUCUAUGUUCUUUAAUUUCCAGGUGUCAUAAUAUUUUAUCAUCUGUUCAUGGGUCUCAGAAAAAUACGAAAGUUGAAAGGAUGUUACAUUAUGAUAUUGCUCAAGGGGCAAAAUGGUCUUAUGACAUUCUGAAUGAUUUUAUUGACGUACAUUUCAUGCAUUGCAUCCACGUGCAUUGACCCAUGACCAGAUGGUGUUAUAUACGCAUAUAUAUGUAAAUAUAUUUAUAUGGGAUAUGGGAAAAGGUUAUGGCGUUAUAUACGCAUCACCACCUGAUCAGCUGGUAUAUGAUGAUGAUGUUGCCCACAGUGGCUGAAAUAUUAUUCAAACGGCGUUAUAUACGCAUAUAUGGGUAUGUAUUCAAAUAGCGUUAUAUACGCAUAUAUAUGUAUGUAUUCAAAUGGCGUUAUAUACGCGUAUAUAUAUAUGUAUAUAUAUGUAUAUGGGAUAUGGGAAAGGUUAUGGCGUUAUAUACGCACCACCACCUGAUCAGCUGGUAUACGAUGAUGAUUUUGCCCACAGUGGCUGAUAUGAUAUGAUGGGAUGCCCUCAGAGGCUGAUGAUGUUAUGAAAUAUGUACCCAUGCACGACAUGACAUUCAUACGCAUAUGCAUGACGCUAAAAGUAAUUUAUGAUUUACAAAGUUAUUCAGACUUACAGGAUGAGUCAUGUACUCUAUAUUUCUUCCAUGUCUCUUAUGUACUUAUUUAUAUGCCUUACAUACUCGGUACAUUAUUUGUACUGACGUCCCUUUUGCCUGGGGAUGCUGCGUUUCAUGCCCGCAGGUCCCGAUAGACAGGUCGAGAGCCCUCCAAGUAGGCUAUCAACUCAGCGGAAGAUGUUGGUGCGCUCCAUUUGCUUCGGAGUUGCUUGUUUGGUUAGUAUGAUUUAGACGUGUAUUGUUUGGUAUGGCGGGACUCUAUCCUGACCCGUUAUGAUAUAUAUGUAUUCUUAGAGGCUUGUAGACAUAUGUCGUGUAUGUGAAAGAUUGUACGGCCUUGUCGGCCUAUGUUUUGAGCUUAUAAAAGAUCAUGUUGCCCUAUUAGCCAUGUAUGUCACGUGUAUAUGAUGAUGUAUUAAGAAGAUACGUUAGUUGGUA